rnacentral:Y_RNA from 1 species
GGCUGGUCUGAAGGUAAUUUUAUUUUCUCAAUUGUUCACAGUCAGUUACAGAUUGAACUCCUGUUCCACUCUUUCCCCUUUCUCACUACUCUACUUGACUAGGCUCAU